rnacentral:misc_RNA from 1 species
AACGAAAGAAACUUAGCAGCACUAUGUCAAUAUUCAACAAGCAAGUACGCAAAAAUAUGUCAAUACUGUAACUGCAAAGUUGCAUAUUAACAGGCUAUCAUACUGUAUCCAUCGCUGUGGCCGUCCAAAAGAAACCAAUUUAAGACAAACGAUCAGAUAAGAGUCAUCUAUCUGCCUAUUGUAAAAAAGUGAAUCAAGUCGCCCUCAAACUAUGGGAACCAAACCAAAUCAUUUUUAUCGCGGAGGAGAAUUUGAAUCUCCAUCUACUAUCUAUUGAUUGAUCAUGUUGAACUGCAAUCUGGAAAGCUGUUGAGGAAUUGUAGAUAUUACAGGUCCAUAUCUCUGAACAUUG